CCUCUGCACUUCCUAUGGCCCCGGCUCCUCUCCUGGGCACCAAGUCGCGCCAGGAAGGAGCUUGCCUUCUGACGGGUCGGAGCUUUCCUCCUCCCUUUUAAUUUCACCCUGUGACCUGAUUAGCUGCCUGAGCCGGAGUCCCCACCUCCUGGCUCCCCGCCCAGCCCUCUCACUCAGGCCUGUCAAUCCAGGAGGCCAGGGGAGGAGGCACCUCGGGUCUCCCAGAGGGAUGGGAAAUGGGGGCUUCGGCAGGGGUCCCCAGGGAGCAGGGCCCAGCUGCCAGCCGAAGCUCCCCGUCGGCCCUGUCUCUCCUUCCCCGAGCUUUGCCUCUAUCCUCAGACUCCUGGUUGUCUGAACGCGCCAACGUAAUGACGUCAGCAUUUUCUGAGGGCUGAUGAAGCGCCAGGUGCAGAUCUGAUCUCCAGUGCUGAGAAAUCAGGUAGCCCAGAAGCACAGGGCAGUCAGACCUCCGGGGUUCGAAUCCUGGCUCUGCCUCUUACAACCUAUGACCUUGGGCGGUUACCCUACCCCCGUGGCUUCAUUUCCAGCUGUGCCCGUCCCGGUGACUGCUGUGGGGCUGCGGGAACUGGGCGCAGUGCCUGACAGCAAGCAUUCACUAAAAGAAACGCUAAGGACUCUUCUCGGGAUCCUCACGUUCUGGAGAAGAGACUCACGGCUGCAGGACCCGCUGUCACCCUGCCUGGUCUCAGGCCUGCUUGACAAGAGUUUGCAGAGCACCUACUCAGGGGUUGGCACUCCUGCAGGCGAUGGAGACGCAGCUGAGAACAGAACAGACCGCAGUCCCUGCUCUGAAGGCAUUUCUGGUCUGGGAGCCACCGUAAGAGGUGAGACGACAGUGGCUCUGCCCCAGGGGUAACCGUGAACAUGGGGAAGAAGGCAGGAUUCUCAAUGCUCUUGAGGACGGGGCUGGGAAGGGUUGUUGCAUGUGGGUGUGGGAGAAAGAGGGGAGUUGGGGAUGACGGGAGAGCUUCGGGCCACAGCAGCUGGAAUAAGAGGGCUGGCCUGAGGGACGGGGAAGGCUGGGGGUGUGCAGGGUGGGCAGGGGCUCCCAGUUAGACAGGAAGUGUCUACUAGGCCUGCGAGGGAGGCAGUGUUGACAGGUGCCAUGCUCCCUUCAUACUGGGUGUCAAGGAGGAGGAGAAGGGGGGUUCCCUGGGGAAGCACUGGACACCCCCUUGGCCGCAGGGUCCUCCGGCCCCCAGGCAGCCAUUGCACAGGACAGAGUAAGGACACACAACCAGAACUGCCACCGUCCACAGGUCUGGUGGGGGGAGGAUGGCAGAGAGAAAGAGGGAGAAAGGAGCACCAUCCUUGCCUGGGGAACUGCCAGUCUGACGGGGUAGGAGGGGGACCCAGUCUCUGCUCCGGGAACCCCUCUGCCCCCAGCCCGAUGAAGAAGACAGGAAAUAUAAAAAUGGUAUAAGCAUUCACUUGGUUACUCUUUCACUUUGAAGAUCUUCCUGAAACGUCUUUUUAUUGCCAGCACAUCCGAGGGCAAGUGUUCUCGGUCUGCAAAGUUCUUUACAUUCAAUGGCACCGACACAAAGGUGACUAGGUUUACCCGGUGGACGCGGAAUCUAGCAACACAACACUCCAGGGGCGCACAGCCCUGGUUGCUGUCCCUACAAACCAGAGCCUGGGCCAUUUUGUUCAUAUGUAAUGUAGUGUGGAGCAUAAAAAGCAGCUCCCGAAGAGCGCAUGGGUAUAUUCCUAUUAGGAAAGGAUGGAUGGAUGGAUGGAUGGAUGGAUGGACGGGACAAAGGGAGGAAGGGAAGAAGGUCGGUGCAUGAAGAGCUAUCUGCAAAAAUGACGGUGAUAAUGGUGACAAAGGGGACGAGAUGCCAGCAGACACCUGU
rnacentral:lncRNA from 12 species